rnacentral:rRNA from 1 species
AACAAACGCUGGCGGCGUGCCUAACACAUGCAAGUCGUACGAGAAAGGGUCCUUCGGGACCUGAGUAAAGUGGCGCACGGGUGAGUAACGCGUGGAUAAUCUGCCCUUCAGUUGGGAAUAACUCAUCGAAAGGUGGGCUAAUACCGAAUAACACUGUGAGACCUUGGUCGAUCAGUCAAAGAGAGCCUCUGCUUGCAUGCCCUCGCUGCAGGAUGAGUCCGCGUACCAUUAGCUAGUUGGUAGGGUAAUGGCCUACCAAGGCGACGAUGGUUAGCUGGUCUGAGAGGAUGAUCAGCCACACUGGAACUGAGACACGGUCCAGACUCCUACGGGAGGCAGCAGUGAGGAAUCUUGCGCAAUGGGGGCAACCCUGACGCAGCAACGCCGCGUGAGUGAGGAAGGUCUUCGGAUCGUAAAGCUCUGUCGGAUGGAAAGAACCGCAUGGGGGUGAAUAGCCCCAAUGUCUGACGGUACCAUCAAAGGAAGCACCGGCUAACUCCGUGCCAGCCGCCGCAGUAAAAC